GCAUGUUCACAUGAUUAAAGGUAUUCCGGUAGACGAUGGGGAUGCGUUCCAUUAGAUAGUAGGCGGGGUAACGGCCCACCUAGUCUUCGAUGGAUAGGGGUUCUGAGAGGAAGGUCCCCCACAUUGGAACUGAGACACGGUCCAAACUCCUACGGGAGGCAGCAGUGAGGAAUAUUGGUCAAUGGGCGAGAGCCUGAACCAGCCAAGUAGCGUGAAGGAUGACUGCCCUAUGGGUUGUAAACUUCUUUUAUAAAGGAAUAAAGUCGGGUAUGCAUACCCGUUUGCAUGUACUUUAUGAAUAAGGAUCGGCUAACUCCGUGCCAGCAGCCGCGGUAACACGGAGGAUCCGAGCGUUAUCCGGAUUUAUUGGGUUUAAAGGGAGCGUAGAUGGAUGUUUAAGUCAGUUGUGAAAGUUUGCGGCUCAACCGUAAAAUUGCAGUUGAUACUGGAUAUCUUGAGUGCAGUUGAGGCAGGCGGAAUUCGUGGUGUAGCGGUGAAAUGCUUAGACAUCACGAAGAACUCCGAUUGCGAAGGCAGCCUGCUAAGCUGCAACUGACAUUGAGGCUCGAAAGUGUGGGUAUCAAACAGGAUUAGAUACCCUGGUAGUCCACACGGUAAACGAUGAAUACUCGCUGUUUGCGAUAUACAGCAAGCG
rnacentral:rRNA from 1 species